GUGUGACUGCGUACCUUUUGUAUAAUGGGUCAGCGACUUAUAUUCUGUAGCAAGGUUAACCGAAUAGGGGAGCCGAAGGGAAACCGAGUCUUAACUGGGCGUUAAGUUGCAGGGUAUAGACCCGAAACCCGGUGAUCUAGCCAUGGGCAGGUUGAAGGUUGGGUAACACUAACUGGAGGACCGAACCGACUAAUGUUGAAAAAUUAGCGGAUGACUUGUGGCUGGGGGUGAAAGGCCAAUCAAACCGGGAGAUAGCUGGUUCUCCCCGAAAGCUAUUUAGGUAGCGCCUCGUGAAUUCAUCUCCGGGGGUAGAGCACUGUUUCGGCAAGGGGGUCAUCCCGACUUACCAACCCGAUGCAAACUGCGAAUACCGGAGAAUGUUAUCACGGGAGACACACGGCGGGUGCUAACGUCCGUCGUGAAGAGGGAAACAACCCAGACCGCCAGCUAAGGUCCCAAAGUCAUGGUUAAGUGGGAAACGAUGUGGGAAGGCCCAGACAGCCAGGAUGUUGGCUUAGAAGCAGCCAUCAUUUAAAGAAAGCGUAAUAGCUCACUGGUCGAGUCGGCCUGCGCGGAAGAUGUAACGGGGCUAAACCAUGCACCGAAGCUGCGGCAGCGACGCUUAUGCGUUGUUGGGUAGGGGAGCGUUCUGUAAGCCUGUGAAGGUGUGCUGUGAGGCAUGCUGGAGGUAUCAGAAGUGCGAAUGCUGACAUAAGUAACGAUAAAGCGGGUGAAAAGCCCGCUCGCCGGAAGACCAAGGGUUCCUGUCCAACGUUAAUCGGGGCAGGGUGAGUCGACCCCUAAGGCGAGGCCGAAAGGCGUAGUCGAUGGGAAACAGGUUAAUAUUCCUGUACUUGGUGUUACUGCGAAGGGGGGACGGAGAAGGCUAUGUUGGCCGGGCGACGGUUGUCCCGGUUUAAGCGUGUAGGCUGGUUUUCCAGGCAAAUCCGGAAAAUCAAGGCUGAGGCGUGAUGACGAGGCACUACGGUGCUGAAGCAACAAAUGCCCUGCUUCCAGGAAAAGCCUCUAAGCAUCAGGUAACAUCAAAUCGUACCCCAAACCGACACAGGUGGUCAGGUAGAGAAUACCAAGGCGCUUGAGAGAACUCGGGUGAAGGAACUAGGCAAAAUGGUGCCGUAACUUCGGGAGAAGGCACGCUGAUAUGUAGGUGAAGUCCCUCGCGGAUGGAGCUGAAAUCAGUCGAAGAUACCAGCUGGCUGCAACUGUUUAUUAAAAACACAGCACUGUGCAAACACGAAAGUGGACGUAUACGGUGUGACGCCUGCCCGGUGCCGGAAGGUUAAUUGAUGGGGUCAGCGCAAGCGAAGCUCUUGAUCGAAGCCCCGGUAAACGGCGGCCGUAACUAUAACGGUCCUAAGGUAGCGAAAUUCCUUGUCGGGUAAGUUCCGACCUGCACGAAUGGCGUAAUGAUGGCCAGGCUGUCUCCACCCGAGACUCAGUGAAAUUGAACUCGCUGUGAAGAUGCAGUGUACCCGCGGCAAGACGGAAAGACCCCGUGAACCUUUACUAUAGCUUGACACUGAACAUUGAGCCUUGAUGUGUAGGAUAGGUGGGAGGCUUUGAAGUGUGGACGCCAGUCUGCAUGGAGCCGACCUUGAAAUACCACCCUUUAAUGUUUGAUGUUCUAACGUUGACCCGUAAUCCGGGUUGCGGACAGUGUCUGGUGGGUAGUUUGACUGGGGCGGUCUCCUCCUAAAGAGUAACGGAGGAGCACGAAGGUUGGCUAAUCCUGGUCGGACAUCAGGAGGUUAGUGCAAUGGCAUAAGCCAGCUUGACUGCGAGCGUGACGGCGCGAGCAGGUGCGAAAGCAGGUCAUAGUGAUCCGGUGGUUCUGAAUGGAAGGGCCAUCGCUCAACGGAUAAAAGGUACUCCGGGGAUAACAGGCUGAUACCGCCCAAGAGUUCAUAUCGACGGCGGUGUUUGGCACCUCGAUGUCGGCUCAUCACAUCCUGGGGCUGAAGUAGGUCCCAAGGGUAUGGCUGUUCGCCAUUUAAAGUGGUACGCGAGCUGGGUUUAGAACGUCGUGAGACAGUUCGGUCCCUAUCUGCCGUGGGCGCUGGAGAACUGAGGGGGGCUGCUCCUAGUACGAGAGGACCGGAGUGGACGCAUCACUGGUGUUCGGGUUGUCAUGCCAAUGGCACUGCCCGGUAGCUAAAUGCGGAAGAGAUAAGUGCUGAAAGCAUCUAAGCACGAAACUUGCCCCGAGAUGAGUUCUCCCUGACUCCUUGAGAGUCCUGAAGGAACGUUGAAGACGACGACGUUGAUAGGCCGGGUGUGUAAGCGCAGCGAUGCGUUGAGCUAACCGGUACUAAUGAACCGUGAGGCUUAACCUUACAACGCCGAAGGUGUUU
rnacentral:rRNA from 1 species